UACGAAGGGGGCUAGCGUUGUUCGGAAUCACUGGGCGUAAAGCGCUCGUAGGCGGAUCUUUAAGUCAGAGGUGAAAUCCCAAGGCUCAACCUUGGAACUGCCUUUGAUACUGGGGAUCUCGAGUCCGGGAGAGGUGAGUGGAACUGCGAGUGUAGAGGUGAAAUUCGUAGAUAUCGAGAGGAACACCUGCGGCGAAGGCGGGUUGCUGGGCUGAUACUGACGCUGAGGCGCGAAAGCCAGGGGAGCGAACGGG
rnacentral:rRNA from 1 species